rnacentral:rRNA from 1 species
GACGAACGCUGGCGGCGUGCCUAACACAUGCAAGUCGAACGGAAAGGCCCUGCUUUUGUGGGGUGCUCGAGUGGCGAACGGGUGAGUAACACAUGAGUAACCUGCCCUUGACUUAGGGAUAUCUUCAGGAGACUCCGGCUCUUACCGGAGAUGAUCUCUUGCUGCAUGGUGGUGGUUGGUGAGUUUCGGCGGUUGUGGAUGGUCUGGCGGCUUAUCAGCUUGUUGGUGGGGUAGUGGCUUACCAAGGCUGUGACGGGUAGCCGGCCUGAGAGGGUUACCGGCCACAAUGGGACUGAGAUACGGCCCAGACGGGUAUGGGAGGCAGCAGUGGAGAGUAUUGCACAAUGGGCGGAAGUCUGAUGUAGCAAUGCCGCGUGCGGGAUGACGGGUUUCGGGUUGUAAACCGAUUUGUCCUGUGCCGAGGAGGGAUUGACGGUAAUGGGUCAAGAAGCACCGGCUAACUACGUG